GCCUUCACUGGUAGCCUGAUAACAUAUACUCCCAAGUCUUUCUCUGCCUCUGUGGUGGAUAGUGGAGUGUUUCCCAUGUGGUAUUGGUGUGCUGGAUAUCCCUUCACUGGUAGCCUGGUAACAUACACUCCCAGGUCUUUCUCUGCCUCUGUGGUGGAUAGUGGAGUGUUUCCCAUGUGGUAUUGGUGUGCUGGAUAUCCCUUCACUGGUAGCCUGGUAACAUACACUCCCAGGUCUUUCUCUGCCUCUGUGGUGGAUAGUGGAGUGUUUCCCAUGUGGUAUUGGUGUGCUGGAUAUCCCUUCACUGGUAGCCUGGUAACAUACACUCCCAGGUCUUUCUCUGCCUCUGUGGUGGAUAGUGGAGUGUUUCCCAUGUGGUAUUGGUGUGCUGGAUAUCCCUUCACUGGUAGCCUGGUAACAUACACUCCCAGGUCUUUCUCUGCCUCUGUGGUGGAUAGUGGAGUGUUUCCCAUGUGGUAUUGGUGCGCUGGAUAUCCCUUCACUGGUAGCCUGGUAACAUACACUCCCAGGUCUUUCUCUGCCUCUGUGGUGGAUAGUGGAGUGUUUCCCAUGUGGUAUUGGUGUGCUGGAUAUCCCUUCACUGGUAGCCUGGUAACAUACACUACCAGGUCUUUCUCUGCCUCUGUGGUGGAUAGUGGAGUGUUUCCCAUGUGGUAUUGGUGUGCUGGAUAUCCCUUCACUGGUAGCCUGGUAACAUACACUCCCAGGUCUUUCUCUGCCUCUGUGGUGGAUAGUGGAGUGUGUCCCAUGUGGUAUUGGUGUGCUGGAUAUCC